UACGAAGGGGGCUAGCGUUGCUCGGAAUCACUGGGCGUAAAGCGCACGUAGGCGGAUUGCUAAGUCAGGGGUGAAAUCCUGGAGCUCAACUCCAGAACUGCCUUUGAUACUGGCGAUCUUGAGUCCGGGAGAGGUGAGUGGAACUGCGAGUGUAGAGGUGAAAUUCGUAGAUAUUCGCAAAGAACACCAAGUGGCGAAGGCGCUCACUGGCCCGGUACUGACGCUGAGGUGCGAAAGCGUGGGGAGCAAACAGGGAUUAAGAAACCCCGAGU
rnacentral:rRNA from 1 species